AGAGGAGCUUGCUCCUUGGGUGACGAGUGGCGGACGGGUGAGUAAUGUCUGGGAAACUGCCCGAUGGAGGGGGAUAACUACUGGAAACGGUAGCUAAUACCGCAUAACGUCGCAAGACCAAAGUGGGGGACCUUCGGGCCUCACACCAUCGGAUGUGCCCAGAUGGGAUUAGCUAGUAGGUGGGGUAAUGGCUCACCUAGGCGACGAUCCCUAGCUGGUCUGAGAGGAUGACCAGCCACACUGGAACUGAGACACGGUCCAGACUCCUACGGGAGGCAGCAGUGGGGAAUAUUGCACAAUGGGCGCAAGCCUGAUGCAGCCAUGCCGCGUGUAUGAAGAAGGCCUUCGGGUUGUAAAGUACUUUCAGCGGGGAGGAAGGCGGUGAGGUUAAUAACCUCGCCGAUUGACGUUACCCGCAGAAGAAGCACCGGCUAACUCCGUGCCAGCAGCCGCGGUAAUACGGAGGGUGCAAGCGUUAAUCGGAAUUACUGGGCGUAAAG
rnacentral:rRNA from 1 species